UUUUUCAAUACUUCAUUCUGGUCGUUUGUGCGAGACAUUUUCAAUUGAAAUCGAAAAUGGGGCAAACAACAAAGCCAGCAAUAAAACCUCAAAAUAAAUAAAUAUUAAAAAACAAUAAACAAAAACAAAAGUGUCUCGCCAGACCGAACCAUGUUCGGAAAUAUUAAUGGGAGGACGCUCUCCACUGCGAAAACAAAAAUGUUGUUGACUGGAAACACUUUUUUUGGCAAGUCACAAAUAUUUUCGAAACAUUGAUUUAAUCAAAAGCACGCCAAUCUUUGACUUUUAAUUAAAGCUUUCCGCUUUGACUUAAAAUGUUCAAUAUUAGUUUAAUAAAUAUACAUUUUAAUUGAAACUACACGCAUUUAAAAAGGGUUUACUUUUUGUUUUGUAGACUCGUGUGUUUUGCAAAAAUGUUGUGUAGUAGCAGGUGUAUCUAUGAAUACCUAUCUCCUGCAAUAAAAUGCGAAAACAGACUGCAACGGACAUACACUAAACAAACUACAAGGCAAUUUAAAUACAAACAAGCCCACAAAAUUCGGUAAAUCAACAUGUGUACGGAGGUUGGAAGGAGGCAGGAGCAGGAGGUUGGGGCCAUCGUUGACGUCGACACACAAUUAACUUCAAAAUACUCCAAGCCAUGUUAAGUGUCAAUUAGCCGAAGCCAGAGCUUGCCAGCCAUGAAUGCGAAAUUAUUCAGCUAAAAUAUCAAACAUAUACAAGUAUUUACAUAUUCAGAUAUAAUUUCGUAUAUAAUUGCGUAUGCUAAACAAGUUACCAAAGCUGAUUAUCGCCUCCAGAUACAAACCAACAAAAUUGCAUGGAUAUAAUGAGAUCUGCUAUCAAGAUGGUUUGCCAGGAAUGCUAAAACUGCCAAAGACCACAAUAAAUGUGAAUAAUUCGAGGCGUUUUAAUGAAGUUUAAAUUCAAACUGUGAGAUCAUCAAGAGCCCAUCAAAGACAACCGGCAAUAACAUACAUCUGUCCUUUUUGAUUUAUUCGAUGUGCAUAAUAUUCCAUCAUAAAAAUACAAUCAUUGGAUGCGGUCUUUUAAAGUUUGGACAAAAUAUAUUAAAAAAGUUUCGAUAAAGGAGAGCCUUCAACUCAUAACGCUUUUCAAAUAACUUUUGCUUUUGAGUUGAACUCACAUAAUUUCCAAACAUUUUAUUUCUAAUAACCAACAAACCCAAAAUGGUCAAAACAGCGGUAAUAAAUAAAAUCGAAUAUCGAAUAUGAACAAACAAAAAAAUCAAAAUGAAAUUGGUAAAACAAGAAAUGACCAAAUAUAAUAUGCAGACCACAAAACAAUAAAAGUGGACAGCCAAAAAAAGUUUGACAAAAUAAAAACCAGACACACUCUGGUAAAAUACAAACAUAUAAGCUCUGGCCAAAGCAAAAAUCGUGUCCAAGUGCCACGUUUCGGCUAAGCGGCAGGGCGGGUGGCUGCCUCGUCUCCUGAUAGGGCCAUGACCCCGCCUCCCCCUAUUGGCCUACACCCACCCAAGCCAAGCUCCUAACAACCCAUCGGAUAGGUUUGGCCCGGCACGCUUGUGCAAACAAAACGCCGCUGUUUGUGUUCCUACAUGCGCUGACAAUAUCGCAACAAUGUCGGUCGACAACAUCCACAGAACAACAAGCGGUGCUCCCACCUCUGGCCAAAAGGAAAUCCACCCGAAAAAAUGCGCAAAAUCAAAUGGCAAACAAAAAGUUCAUCAUGAAAAUUUGUAAAUAGUGUUCACAAAGAGAAAUAAUAUCAUGGUCAAUCUGAUACUGCUUUUUUGAUUCUAUGAAAUGACAUUUCUAUGAAGAAUAUAUUUUUUUCGGGAUAUUUGAAAUAUGAAAUCAAAUAAAAUAUAUAUCUUUCUAGGCAUCUGUACCUUUGCUCGUUAAAUUCAACUUUUUUCUGUGCGACCAUGUAAACAAUUGGCGAAAUGACACUAAUGGCAGCUCUACUUUUGCAUACCCCCAAGUCUUUGGUCUCGAGCUGCCAAGACACAAAAACGUUGGCAGAUGCAAUAAAAGGCCAAUAACAAUGCAAUAAUCAUAAUAAUAACAACCGCAAACCAGUCAGUCGGCAAACGUUGUCGCCGCAAUAGCAACAGCAACAACAAGCACAAUCGCAAUCACAAUCACACCGACCGGCAGGCAGCAGUAGCAACAGUGGCAACAGUUGCUGCUGCACUAUCAGCAAUAAAAGUUGUAACAAUUAUCAUUUGAAAGUGCAUUGUUCCAGUUGUCAGAUGCGACGCUUAAGUAGCUGCAACAACAGCAAACAGACAUGCCUCCAACUGCAGACCCGUGCCGUCAAAAGCAGCGGCAGUGAGCAGCAACAAAAAACCACCACAACAGCAACAGCAAUAGCAAUAGCAACAGCAGCAACAUCAAUGUCUACGUCAGCGGAUUGCAGAAUUAAUAUUCACAAUCCGCAGCAAUUGCAAUUUGUUGAAGAAACAAUGAAGCGUUGCUGCUGCCGCGCCACAAUAAAGCAAAAGAAAUAUUUCACAUAUUGUGGCAUAAAUUUGAAAACGAU